rnacentral:rRNA from 1 species
UACGGGGGGGGCAAGCGUUGUUCGGAAUUACUGGGCGUAAAGGGCUCGUAGGUGGCCAACUAAGUCAUGCGUGAAAUCCCUCGGCUUAACCGGGGAACUGCGUCUGAUACUGGAUGGCUUGAGUUUGGGAGAGGGAUGCGGAAUUCCAGGUGUAGCGGUGAAAUGCGUAGAUAUCUGGAGGAACACCAGUGGCGAAAGCGACCUUCUGGACCGUUUCUGACGCUGAGGCUCGAAAGCUCGGGGAGCAAACAGG